rnacentral:rRNA from 1 species
AUUGAACGCUGGCGGCAGGCCUAACACAUGCAAGUCGAGCGGAGCGGAGGACGGGUGAGUAAUGCUUAGGAAUCUGCCUGGUAGCGUGGGAUAACGGCCGGCAACGGGAGCUAAUACCGCAUACUUUCAGAUGAGCCUAGGUCGGAUUCGCUAGUUGGUGGGGUAGAGGCCUACCAAGGCGACGAUCCGUAACUGGUCUGAGAGGAUGAUCAGUCAAACUGGAACUGAGACACGGUCCAGACUCCUACGGGAGGCAGCAGUGGGGAAUAUUGGACAAUGGGCGAAAGCCUGAUACAGCCAUGCCGCGGAGUUGAAGAGGGUCUUCGGAUUGUAAGGCACUUUAAGUGGGAAGACGUUACCAACAGAAUAAGCAACGGCUAACUACGUGCCAGCAGCCGCGGUAAUUC